rnacentral:tRNA from 1 species
CCCACCUUAUCUCAGCAAUAGAGCAGGGCAUUCGUAAUGCUCAGGUCCGCGGUCCAAAUCCGCGAGGUGGCU